CCUACGGGAUGCAGCAGUGGGGAAUAUUGCACAAUGGGGGAAACCCUGAUGCAGCGACGCCGCGUGAGUGAAGAAGUAUUUCGGUAUGUAAAGCUCUAUCAGCAGGGAAGAAAAUGACGGUACCUGACUAAGAAGCCCCGGCUAACUACGUGCCAGCAGCCGCGGUAAUACGUAGGGGGCAAGCGUUAUCCGGAUUUACUGGGUGUAAAGGGAGCGUAGACGGCCAGACAAGUCAGAAGUGAAAGCGCAGGGCUCAACCCUGGGACUGCUUUUGAAACUGCCGUGCUGGAGUGCAGGGGAGGUAAGCGGAAUUCCUAGUGUAGCGGUGAAAUGCAUAGAUAUUAGGAGGAACACCAGUGGCGAAGGCGGCUUACUGGACUGUAACUGACGUUGAGGCUCGAAAGCGUGGGGAGCAAACAGGAUUAGAUACCCUAGUAGUC
rnacentral:rRNA from 1 species